AUUAAGCAUAAAAUGCAUCACAGUGGUUUGGCUGAGCUGAAUUAUAGAUUAAUGGGAUAGCUGGGUUGAAGAUAAAGAUCCUUCAAGCUCAGUGACCCUCUCCUUCCACUCUGCCUAACUGCCUUACUUCAGGUUUAUUGCAUUAGAUAGAAACAAACAACACCUUUUUAUUUCUGUGUGUGCAUCCCCAUGACCUUUACAUUGUAUGUGAGUGGUGGAGGAGUCUGGGUGCUGCCAUCCCCACCCCACCAGGAAGUUCCAGUGCUGCUAGCUAUUUGCAAAUCUGUACUGAACACUGAAUUUUGAAGCUGGUGCUGUGGAAGCAUUGGUCAGCAGCUCUGCUGCUUCUGAACCUGAUGGUAAUGGAUGGGCUAAGAAAUCUGGACACGUUCAUUGCACCGAGGGACCGUGUGCUUCUGGAGAUUUUUCCUUGUCAUAGGGAAUCCAAAAGCAGCACUCUCAAAGAAAUAAGAAGCCUGGUUUUCUGCAAAACCUGCAUUCUCAAUCUUUGCCAGGGGAAUAGAGUAUAA
rnacentral:lncRNA from 1 species